rnacentral:sRNA from 1 species
GCAUAAAUGCUGUUUAUAUUCACGUUUUCCUAGGUGUGUGUGUGCAGGCCACAGCAGCAUGCCCUUGGUGUAGUCAGUGCCGAAAGGGGUCUGUUCCUUCUUGAGCCUGCCUGCAGGGAUGGUCUCCUUUUAAAGCAGGUUGUGUGCAGCAUUCAGUACACUGAAGGCAUAAACCUUCCACUCUUGAACAAAGCAGCUGCUUUUUAAAAGCGGUAAUUGCUUCUUUACCUUUUAUUUCUUUUGUAAAUGAAGCUUUUCUUUAAGAAUGUGACUUUAAAGUGUUGUCUAUUGCAUAAAACAGUUGACACUCACUUAUUGUAAAGUGAAGAUUGUUCUACUGCAUGUGAAGUGGACCAUGCAGAUUUCUGUAUGUUCUCAGUAUGCAUCACUAGAUAAUAAAGUCUUUUGUGAACAAGGCAUUUGUAGCCAUUUUUAAAAGUUUUUGUCUUCAGUGCUGGUAAGUCAGGUAAACCAUAAAUAGUUAAAAGCAACCUUUUGUUUUUUUUCCUGAAAGUUUUUAAUUGAAAGUAUUAUUAGUUAAAGAUGUAAACCUAGCCAAAAUUACCAGUUUAUUAAUAAUUA